UACAGAGGGUGCGAGCGUUGUCCGGAAUCACUGGGCGUAAAGGGCGCGUAGGUGGCGCUGCAAGUCGGUGGUGAAAGCUCGUCGCUUAACGACGAGUCGGCCAUCGAAACUGCAGGGCUUGAGCACUGUAGGGGCUAAUGGAAUUCCGGGUGUAGCGGUGGAAUGCGUAGAGAUCCGGAAGAACACCAGUGGCGAAGGCGGUUAGCUGGGCAGUAGCUGACACUGAUGCGCGACAGCGUGGGGAGCAAACAGG
rnacentral:rRNA from 1 species